rnacentral:rRNA from 1 species
CUACGGGGUGCACCAGUGGGGAAUAUUGCACAAUGGGCGCAAGCCUGAUGCAGCCAUGCCGCGUGUAUGAAGAAGGCCUUCGGGUUGUAAUGUACUUUCAGCGGGGAGGAAGGGAGUAAAGUUAAUACCUUUGCUCAUUGACGUUACCCGCAGAAGAAGCACCGGCUAACUCCGUGCCAGCAGCCGCGGUAAUACGGAGGGUGUAAGCGUUAAUCGGAAUUACUGGGCGUAAAGCGCACGCAGGCGGUUUGUUAAGUCAGAUGUGAAAUCCCCGGGCUCAACCUGGGAACUGCAUCUGAUACUGGCAAGCUUGAGUCUCGUAGAGGGGGGUAGAAUUCCAGGUGUAGCGGUGAAAUGCGUAGAGAUCUGGAGGAAUACCGGUGGCGAAGGCGGCCCCCUGGACGAAGACUGACGCUCAGGUGCGAAAGCGUGGGGAGCAAACAGGAUUAGAUACCCGCGUAGUC